rnacentral:rRNA from 1 species
AAUGAACGCUAGCUACAGGCUUAACACAUGCAAGUCGCGGGGCAGCAUGAACUUGGCUUGCCAGGUUCGAUGGCGACCGGCGCACGGGUGAGUAACGCGUAUCCAACCUGGCCCAUACCACGGGAUAGCCCGUCGAAAGGCGGAUUAAUACCGUAUGCUGUCAUUAAGAUGCAUUUUUUGAUGACGAAAGGACUGGCGGUAUGGGAUGGGGAUGCGUCUGAUUAGCUUGUUGGCGGGGUAACGGCCCACCAAGGCGACGAUCAGUAGGGGUUCUGAGAGGAAGGUCCCCCACAUUGGAACUGAGACACGGUCCAAACUCCUACGGGAGGCAGCAGUGAGGAAUAUUGGUCAAUGGGCGCAAGCCUGAACCAGCCAAGUAGCGUGAGGGAAGACUGCCCUACGGGUUGUAAACCUCUUUUGUUUGGGAAUAAAGUGCGGGACGCGUCCCGCACUUGCAUGUACCAUUUGAAUAAGACCGGCUAAUUCCGUG